UACGUAGGGUGCGAGCGUUGUCCGGAAUUAUUGGGCGUAAAGGGCUCGUAGGCGGUUUGUCGCGUCGGGAGUGAAAACGCCGGGCUUAACCCGGUGCUUGCUUUCGAUACGGGCAGACUGGAGGUAUGCAGGGGAGAACGGAAUUCCUGGUGUAGCGGUGAAAUGCGCAGAUAUCAGGAGGAACACCGAUGGCGAAGGCAGGUCUCUGGGCAUUAACUGACGCUGAGGAGCGAAAGCAUGGGGAGCGAACAGG
rnacentral:rRNA from 1 species